CCUACGGGGGGCAGCAGUAGGGAAUCUUCCACAAUGGGCGAAAGCCUGAUGGAGCAACGCCGCGUGGGUGAAGAAGGUCUUCGGAUCGUAAAACCCUGUUGUUAGAGAAGAACGUGCGCGAGAGGAACUGAUCACGUUUCGACGGUAUCUAACCAGAAAGCCACGGCUAACUACGUGCCAGCAGCCGCGGUAAUACGUAGGUGGCAAGCGUUAUCCGGAAUUAUUGGGCGUAAAGGGAUCGCAGGCGGUCUUUUAAGUCUGGUGUGAAAGCCCUCGGCUUAACCGGCGUAGUGCAUUGGAAACUAGGAGACUUGAGUGCAGAAGAGGUGAGUGGAACUCCAUGUGAAGCGGUGAAAUGCGUAGAUAUAUGGAAGAACACCAGAGGCGAAGGCAGCUCACUGGGUUGUAACUGACGCUGAGGGUCGAAAGCGUGGGUAGCAAACAGGAUUAGAUACCCGAGUAGUC
rnacentral:rRNA from 1 species